rnacentral:sRNA from 15 species
GUCGACGUUCGGGCUGCACGCGGGUCGACGCCUUCCAUGUCCACCAAGAACAUCCAAGGCGUCAAGUGGGUGAGUCCCUGUCGCGGGGCGGAUGCACCGGCACCUCGGCUCGGCGGACGAGCGG